UUGGGAAUCUUGCACAAUGGGGGAAACCCUGAUGCAGCGACGCCGCGUGGAGGAUGAAGGGUCUAGGCCUGUAAACUCCUUUUCUCGGGAAAGACUUAGGACGGUACCCGAGGAAUAAGCACCGGCUAACUACGUGCCAGCAGCCGCGGUAAGACGUAGGGUGCAAGCGUUGUCCGGAUUUACUGGGCGUAAAGAGCGCGUAGGCGGUCUGUUAAGUGAGAAGUGAAAGCUCUGGGCUCAACCCAAAAAUUGCUUUUCAUACUGGCAGACUGGAGUGAUGCAGAGGUUUGUGGAAUUCCUGGUGUAGCGGUGAAAUGCGUUGAUAUCAGGAGGAACACCGAUGGCGAAGGCAGCAAACUGGGCAUUAACUGACGCUGAGGCGCGAAAGCGUGGGUAGCAAACAGG
rnacentral:rRNA from 1 species